GAAAUAUUUUCUUUAUUUUUAUAACUACUUUAAUUUUAUUUUGUUAAUAUUUUCGAUCAAAACCCUUCUUCUCGUGAAACCAAAAGAAACCCUAGCUCCUCUCCGUUUCCCACGUUAAAAAAUACAUUCCUCAAAUUACCGGAAAAUUAGUUACUAAAAUCAACAAUUGUUGUAGGGUUUUAAUUCGCAAUCCAUAGAUUCACAUUCUGGUCCAUGUUUCAUGCACGCGAUCUUCAUAUUUCUCUUGAGAAAUCGAAUGCUCGCGGUAUUUCAAUCCAGGUACGUUUUGUACUUUGUCUCUUUUGAUGUUAUUUGGUCAAUUCAGGGUUUGGUUUUGAUGGUUAGUGCUUGAUUGCUUUGAUUUGUGGGUUAAUCUGUGAAUUUUGGUAAUUUAAGGGGGGGUAAUUUUGGUGAUUUGGUGUCGUUUCGGUGUUUUUCCAGAUCUGAAAAUGCAUGAUAGGGAUUUGAAAAUCAGGGGUUUUGGGCUUUGGUGUUUGGAUUGAUGGAAAAUAGAGUAGGAAAGUCUCAUGGAGUGGAGAUUCCUAAAAAAUCGAGAUCUUUGGAUCAUAAAAGUCUCUAUGAAUCUAAAAAUCCUAAAGGGGAUCAAAAUAGUAAUAAUUUGAAGCGGAAGGGUGGUGGUGCAGGUGAUGAUGAGAAGGGACAUGAGAAGAAGAAGAGUAGAAAGGAGGUUUCUAUUAGUAGUUUUAAGAAUAAGAAUGUUAACAGUAGCUAUAGUAAGAGUUUAAAGGAAGUGUAUAAUAGGAGUUUGAGUUCAGGUUUGAAGGAAUCGAAGUCUGGGUUGAUUCAGAGAUUGGCUGAUAGUAAUGGAUUUAGUGGUGUUUCCUUACCUCUGGAUGGUGAGGUUGUUAAAAUCCCUAGGCGGAAACGAGGUUUUGUGGGGCGAAGGAAAGUUGAUAAUGGUAGUGAGGGGUCCAAGCUGACAGGAGGGUUUGGCAGGGAAGCAGGCAAUGUCGAUCAGGCAGAUAAGCUAACUGGUGAAGAUGAGAGCAAAUGGGUUGAGAAUGGUGGUCGAGAGUUGAAAGCAGUGGGGAUAUCUGGUGGUGAAGUGGAUGAUGUCGAUCAGGCUAGUAAGUUAACUGUUGAAGAUAAGGGCAAGCAGGUUGAACCUUUGAAGGCUAAACAGAAGAAAGGUUCUGAUGACUUGAAAGAAAAUAGAAAUGAUGAACUGAAUGCAAGCAGAAAUUUGGAGGAGGAGGAGGACGGGCAUGAGGGCCAUCCAGUUGCAACAAAAAGAGAUUCAUCAUCGAAAAGGCCUCACAAUGGCCCUUUGGUUGACAACAAUGGUGAUUUAUCUUUGAAAAAGUCACUGAGGAAGCGGAGCAGGAAAAAGGGCAUGGUGUCCGAUAAGAAAAGAACCAAGGAGGAUGACCCAACAGUUGAUACUUCUAUGAAGAUGAGUGGUGUUUUGCAGGACGAGGAGGAGGAGAAUCUCGAAGAGAAUGCAGCAAUGAUGCUAUCAUCACGAUUCAAUCCGAGCUGCACGGGCUUUUCUUCAAACAGCAAAGCCUCAGCCUCGCCAUCUAAAAAUGAUUUCCAAGAAUUUGUUGCUCAUGGGUCUAGCUAUGUCUCUGGAUCUGAAUCUUCAUCUGUUGAUAUUGAUGGUAGAGUAUUGCGACCUAGGAAACAAAACAAAGAGAAGGGUAGUACCAGGAAACGACGCCAUUAUUAUGAAGUUUUCUCUGGGGACUUGGAUGCUCAUUGGGUGUUGAACCAGAGAAUCAAGGUCUUUUGGCCUCUGGACCAGAGAUGGUAUCAUGGUCUUGUUGGUGACUAUGACAAAGAGAGGAAGCUUCAUCACAUAAAAUAUGAUGAUCGGGAUGAGGAAUGGAUUGAUCUCCAAAAUGAAAGAUUUAAACUCUUGCUGCUACCUAGUGAAGUUCCAGGUAAGAUGCGAAGGAAAAGAUCAAUAACAAGCAACAAGCGCUCUGAUGGGUGGAAAGAAAAAAUGACAUCCAGAAAAGAAAAGAGGGACUUGAUCACAGAGGAUGAUAGCUAUGAAGGGGCAUAUAUGGAGUCGGAGCCUAUCAUCUCAUGGUUGGCUCGAUCUACUCGUAGAGUCAAAUCGUCUCCUCUUCAUGCCUUGAAGAAACAGAAAACAUCCUAUCUAUCUUCUACUAUGACACCACUGUCUUCCCUAAAAAGAGAUAAAUGCAAGUUAUCUUAUAAUUCUGCUUCAUCAGACAGUGUAGCCACUGAUGGAAGGAGUGAUUUGCCUGUGAUGGAGAGCCCUGUUUUCCCCAAAGAUAGCAAGCUCCCUAUUGUUUAUUACAGGAAGCGGUUUCGCAAGACAAGCAAUGUGUUGUGUCAUGAAUCCAAGGGCAUUUGUGUUUCUGCCAGUGUACCAGAAACUGAUAGUUCUCUUGUGCCUCUUACUGUUGCUUUUUGGGCUUUGCAAGAGCAUUAUACUUCUCUUGGAAGAUUGGAUCAUGACCUGGAUUCGAAUAGGUUGGAUUCUUCUGAUCCUUUAUGGUCAACUGGUAAUGCAGGGUUGUUGAGAUUAAAUAUUUCUGCCACAGAACCAAGAUGGUUGAGGUUCAAGUUAAGCUUCCAAUUGCCUUCUUUCUUGAAUUACUACUCAUUUGGCUCUGAAAAUGUUUGGUUGAUCCAUGCUGUGCUACUGCUUCAGUAUGGUAUGCUUAUGACUACAUGGCCAAGAAUUCAUCUGGAGAUGCUUUUUGUAGAUAAUAUGGUUGGAUUGAGGUUUCUCUUGUUUGAAGGUUGCUUGAUGCAGGCUGUAGCUUUUGUAUUCCUGGUCUUAACAGUAUUUCAUCAACCUAGAGAGCAGGGGAAAUGUGCUGACUUCCAGUUGCCAAUAACUUCAAUCAGGUACAGAUUCUCUUGCAUUCGAAAUCUGAGAAAGCACUUUGCCUUUUCAUUCUACAACUUCUCUGAAGUGGAGAAUUCAAAGUGGAAGUACUUGGACCAUAAGCUCAAAAGGCAUUGCCUGGCUUAUAGGCAACUAUCUCUGUCCGAAUGCACUUAUGAUAACAUUAAGGCAUUGCAAUGCGGAAAGAAUCGACUUUUCAGUCCUUUGGUCUGCAGUGAUGCCACCUUAAAUAAGGUCCUGCAUAGGAGAUCUAGGCAGAGUAUUAGCCUCAUGGGGGUCACCAGAGAAUCUACUUGUGUUAAUGGCAGCCAGUCUUCUUUUAAGUCUGACAAGAAUCACAGAUAUUUACCUUCAUUUGCACUUUCUUUUACUGCUGCUCCUACUUAUUUUUUUGGUUUGCAUUUAAAGAUGCUUGUGGAACAUAGUGUGAUGCAUAUUAACACUGAGGAUCACAAUUCAAUAGAACAUCCAGAAAAAUCCAGUGGUUUAGUGGCUGAUAGCUGCACUUGCAUAGAGGACUGUUCCAAAGCAUGUUUAGAUUGCACACCUGGUAAUGAUUUCAAGGCUUUGACAAGGGGUGCUGACUAUGAUGGAUGCAUAUCCUGUGCUAAACCAGAGUCACAAAGUGUUGAUGUUUCCAUUUGCAGUGGUGGGGAUUGGAAAAAAUCCUUAUCAAACCAAAGUGGUGAUGUAAAUGUUGAAAUUUCUGCUAGCUACAGAGAUCUUGGAGAAUCGGGAAGUGGUGCAAUUGUCCCGCUGCAGAAUUUGGAAUGCAACCAUUCAGAGUCACAACCCUGUGACUUGCUGUUAAGGCAGUCAAUUAACAAAGAUGAGACUGGUGCUGGUUCACAUGCUCUUUCAAAUGGUAUCACGGUUGAUAUUCCAUCAGUUAAUCAAUUUGACCAGCAUGCUAAUAAGGAAUUACAAGGCGUUCAGCAGUCUUCUGAUUUGUCUUGGAAUAUGAAUGGUGGUGUUAUUCCAAGUCCAAACCCUACUGCUCGCCGAAGUACCUGGCAUCGAAAUAGAAGUAGUUUUGCAUCUUUUGGAUGGUCUGAAGGAAAGGCUGACUUUCUCCAAAACAAUUUUGGUAAUGGACCUAAGAAGCCACGGACACAGGUUUCUUAUGCAUUGCCGUUUGGAGGUUUUGAUUACAGCCCAAGGAAUAAAGGAUAUCAGCAAAAAGGGUUUCCACAUAAACGAAUCAGGACAGCCACUGAGAAGAGGACUUCAUUCAUUUCCAGAGGUUCUGAAAGAAACUUAGAGUUGUUGUCCUGUGAUGCAAAUGUUUUGAUUACAAAUGGUGACAAAGGAUGGAGAGAAUGUGGGGUGCAGGUUGUACUAGAGCUUUUUGAUCAUAAUGAGUGGAGGCUUGGUGUUAAGCUUUCUGGAACUACAAUUUAUUCAUACAAGGCACAUCAGUUUCUGCAAACUGGGUCAACAAAUCGGUUUACACAUGCAAUGAUGUGGAAAGGAGGGAAAGAUUGGACACUGGAAUUUCCUGAUAGGAGUCAGUGGGCUCUUUUUAAAGAGAUGCAUGAAGAAUGCUAUAAUCGGAAUAUACGUGCUGCAUCAGUUAAAAACAUUCCGAUUCCUGGGGUUCGCUUGAUAGAGGAAAAUGAUGAUAAUGGAAUAGAAGUACCGUUUUUUCGGGGUUGUAAGUACUUUCGGCAGCUUGAAUCAGAUGUUGAGAUGGCUUUGGAUCCAUCAAGGGUGCUAUAUGAUAUGGACAGUGAUGAUGAACAGUGGAUGCUAAAAAAUCAAAGUUCUUCAGAAGUCAAUAGCAGUUCAUGGCAGAUUUCAGAAGAAAUGUUUGAGAAGGCAAUGGACAUGUUUGAGAAGGCUGCAUAUUCUCAACAGCGGGACCAGUUUACAUUCAAUGAAAUAGUUGAGUUUAUGACUGGAAUUGAGCCCACAGAAGCCAUCAAAACCAUCCAUGAAUAUUGGCAGCAUAAGAGGCAGAGGAAGAGAAUGCCUUUAAUCCGUCAUCUCCAGCCGCCACUUUGGGAAAGGUAUCAGCAGCAAUUGAGGGAGUGGGAGCAAGCAAUGACAAGAAGUAACACAGGCAUCCCUAAUGGAUGCCAUGAGAAGUUUGCACUUUCUGACAAGCCACCCAUGUAUGCUUUCUGUUUGAAACCAAGGGGUUUGGAAGUGCCUAACAAGGGAUCAAAACAAAGGUCGCAUAAAAAAUUUUCAGUUGCUGGACAAAGCAACAGCUUAGCAGGAAAUCAUGACGGCUUGCACCCUUAUGGAAGAAGAAUAAAUGGCUUUGCUUCUGGGGAUGAAAAGACAAUAUAUUCAGUACAUAACAAUGAAUCUUUUGAAGAUUCCCCGUUGCCUCAGAUGUCACCCAGGGUGUUUUCACCACGAGAUGCUUAUGGCCGUGCAUUUGUCUCACUGACUGGUGAUGGUUAUGAUAGGAAUAAUCUCCAGAAACUUUGCAGGACCAAGUCAAAGAAACUUGGUACCUUUGUGUCUCCCUAUGAUGUUCAGAUGGCUACUUCAUAUAAUCACAGAAUGUUGGAUCAGAGAAAUGGAUUUCGUCAUUGGAAUUUGGGCUUUUCGGACUGGCCUAGCCAGCGACAUCACCAGACAGAUGGAUAUGCGAGGCAUGGCCGUGAACAGUUGAAUGAUUCAGGUCUUGAUGAGCUCAGGUUGCGUGAAGCUUCUGGUGCGGCUAAGCACGCACUUAACGUGGCUAAGCUCAAGAGACAUAGGGCACAGAGAUUGCUUUACAGGGCAGAUCUUGCAAUUCACAAGGCUGUGGUUGCCCUAAUGAAUGCUGAAGCAAUCAAAGCUUCUUCCGAGGACAUAAAUGUUGAUGGGUAGAAUGAGAAAAACUACAUAUGAGAUGAUAGGAAUUUGCCAGCCCCUUUAGCUUGCAUGUCUGAAUCCAAAGAAUCCAGUUACAGACUAUACAUUGUCCUUGCUGGAACAGUGGUGUUUCUAUCAUCCGUGGCAGUGGCCUUUUGUCAUUAGCCUUUCCAGCAGGUUUCUAACAGGUGCUGUGGCAUUUAGAAGGGAGAAGGGUUAUUUUUUUUUUUUUGCCUCUGCCUCAUUAAUCUGCCAUCAAUCUGGCAGUUUUGGUUAGGACUUGCCAGGUCUUAUACCCACUCGUUUUUUUUUGUUCUGGUAACUGGUUCACCUGCACAGAUCAUGCUUGUGAAGGGGGUUUGUGGAGUUUUGGCUGCAGAUCUUUGUACAGAUCUUUGUUUCCUUUUCCUUUUUGUUUUCUCCCUUAACCAUGAAUAUCGAAGUAGCAGUUGGCCGAAAUAAUAUGACACCCCGGGAUUCGACUUACAAGUUCCCAUCUGAUUCAACACUGGAGCAUUCACUAGAUAGAUAUGGGCCAACGGAAUACAUUAUCCAUGAAAAUAGAAGAGGAAAAAAUUCUAUUCCAGAUUUUGUUACUCUCUCUGUGGUAAAGGGGAAGGGUGCCUGCAAUGCGAUGAAACGUUGGCACGAGUCUGGCCAGGACCCUCCCGGCGGCGGGGGGCCUCGUAUGCCUACUAGGGUGAAACUGAAACCAAAACAUGCAUGGAUAUUAUGGAUAUGAAGCUUGGGUCAGUUUCAUGGAAGUUCUUUGCGACCCGUUCAAUUCUAUGGUCACUCGAUGCCAGGAUCAGGAUGUAAUUGAUUCAAAAUCUUUGACUUCCAUGGCAUCAGUUAGCAUUAUGUAUGCAUGCGGUAGUGUCUGGUUUGAUCAAUUUUGACUCCUCUCUGUUUGUUGACAGUGUUUGAUUCAAUUUUAGCCCAUACAGUGAACAGCAAUGGAGGCCGGUUUCCUGCCUUUAUUCCUCAA